GGAGUUAGCCGGUGCUUCUUCUGUGAGUGAUGUCCUUCCUGCCGGUUAUUGACCCGCAGGCCUUCUUCCUCACUGAAAGUGCUUUACAACCCGAAGGCCUUCUUCACACACGCGGCAUGGCUGGAUCAGGGUUGCCCCCAUUGUCCAAUAUUCCCCACUGCUGCCUCCCGUAGGAGUCUGGGCCGUGUCUCAGUCCCAGUGUGGCUGAUCAUCCUCUCAGACCAGCUACGGAUCGUCGCCUUGGUGAGCCGUUACCUCACCAACCAGCUAAUCCGACAUAGGCUCAUCCGAUAGCGCGAGGCCCGAAGGUCCCCCGCUUUCCCCCGUAGGGCGUAUGCGGUAUUAGCCUGGGUUUUCCCCAGGUUAUCCCCCACUACCGGGCAGAUUCCUAUGCAUUACUCACCCGUCCGCCGCUCGCCACCAGGGAGCAAGCUCCCCGUGCUGCCGCUCGACUUGCAUGUGUUAGGCCUGCCGCCAGCGUUCAAUCUGAGCCAGAAUCGAACCCUGA
rnacentral:rRNA from 1 species